AGAGUUUGAUCAUGGCUCAGAAUCAACGCUGGCGGCGUGCCUAACACAUGCAAGUCGAACGAGAAAGUGGUAGCAAUACCAUGAGUAAAGUGGCGCACGGGUGAGUAACACGUGACUAACCUACCCUGGAGUGGGGGAUAACUGAGGGAAACCUUAGCUAAUACCGCAUAAUACCUACGGGUCAAAGGAGCAAUUCGCUUCAGGAGGGGGUCGCGGCCGAUUAGUUAGUUGGCGGGGUAAUGGUCCACCAAGACAGUGAUCGGUAUCCGGCCUGAGAGGGCGCACGGACACACUGGAACUGAAACACGGUCCAGACUCCUACGGGAGGCAGCAGUGGGGAAUUUUGCGCAAUGGGGGAAACCCUGACGCAGCAACGCCGCGUGGAGGAUGAAGUCCCUCGGGACGUAAACUCCUUUCGAUCGGGACGAUUAUGACGGUACCGGAAGAAGAAGCCCCGGCUAACUUCGUGCCAGCAGCCGCGGUAAUACGAGGGGGGCGAGCGUUGUUCGGAAUUAUUGGGCGUAAAGGGUGCGUAGGCGGUUUGGUAAGUCUUAUGUGAAAUCUAUGGGCUCAACUCAUAGACUGCAUGAGAAACUGCCGGGCUUGAGUAUGGGAGAGGUGAGUGGAAUUCCUGGUGUAGCGGUGAAAUGCGUAGAUAUCAGGAGGAACACCUGUGGCGAAAGCGGCUCACUGGACCAUAACUGACGCUGAUGCACGAAAGCUAGGGGAGCAAACAGGAUUAGAUACCCUAGUAGUCC
rnacentral:rRNA from 1 species